rnacentral:rRNA from 1 species
CCUACGGGAGUCAGCAGUGAGGAAUAUUGGUCAAUGGCCGGAAGGCUGAACCAGCCAAGCCGCGUGAAGGACGAAGGUGCCAAGCAUUGUACACUUCUUUUGUCAAGGGACAAAAUCAGGCUCGAGAGCCUGACCGAGGGUACUUGAAGAAAAAGCAUCGGCUAACUCCGUGCCAGCAGCCGCGGUAAUACGGAGGAUGCGAGCGUUAUCUGGAUUUAUUGGGUUUAAAGGGUGCGUAGGCGGACUGUUAAGUCAGCGGUAAAAGCCCGGGGCUCACCCCCGGCGAGCCGUUGAAACUGGCUGUCUUGAGAUGUCGAGAGGUAUGCGGAAUGAGUAGUGUAGCGGUGAAAUGCAUAGAUAUCGCGCAGAACUCCGAUUGCGAAGGCAGCGUACCGGCGCCAGACUGACGCUGAGGCACGAAAGCGUGGGGAUCGAACAGGAUUAGAUACCCGUGUAGUC